GUCAACAUAUGUUAUUAUUGUCCAACCUAAUUUGUUGCACCUGACAUUCCAUAUACAGAGAAGGCUUCAAAACUUCUCUACAUGUCUCCAGCUAUACAAAAAGAAAAUUUAAGAUUUACAUUAUAUUCUUAUUCUGAUCAAACAAAACAGCUGUUGCUUAUCCAUAAGAAUAUUUUGGAUAUAGGCAUUUAGCCAUUUCCUCCCUUUUUCUUUCUCUCAUUUCCACUGAGUCCCUUACUUUUCUAUCAUUCCAAACAGUCCCUUUAUUUUUUUGCAUUAACUGUUUAAUCAAUCUUCUUUCUCGUCUGUCUGUGUGGGUGGUCAUAGAGAUUAAAGAUGGAUGAUUGUUGUCAGAAGCAAAACAAGACUGCGAGUUGCAGUUCUGAAGAGGUGAGCAGUAUCGAGUGGGAAUCAAUCAAGAUGACUGAACAAGAAGAAGAUCUCAUCCACAGAAUGUAUAGGCUGGUUGGGAACAGGUGAAGACUUCAAAUCUUGCAAGAUUAAUUUACCUCGUUUUAUUUUUUACCGAUUUCAGAAUUCACCUGCCUUAUAAAAACAAAAAUAAGCCAAGUAGUACAACCUUAACUAACCAUUCAUCUCAAACUAAUUGGAGUCGGUCAAAUGAAUGCUUUUUUGCUGUUCAGCUCUAUUAGAAGUGAUUCUUAUUACAAAUCAAUCAAGGAGCUAGCUGGAGUAAAUACGUUGUACUUUGUUGGUGAAAACUGAGUCUUACACAAAUCUGAGAGAGGAGAAUGAGGAGUAAUUUGCUGGCUAGCUACAUUCUUAUACGCAUAGAUAAACGUAGCAUGGAUCCUGUCUAUGGAUGUCUAUAACACAACUUUAUAUAACCUAAAAUGUGAACGACAAUUCUCAAUGGGAAACAUCAACCCCAAAAGGAAAGCAAGUAGUUAAGGUCUUAGCAUUUUAGGACACAAUUCAGGUAGUGUCAUACAUACAUAUAUGCCCAAUUUGGAUUCUUUGUUGUAGGUGAAAAUUCUUCUGAUGGGUAGAAAUUAACAUGACUUACCAUACUCUUGCUAAUUUUUUUCAUUUAUAAUUAACUUUAAAUAAAAUUUAAAUUCAAAACCUCACCGUUUUGAAAACAACUCAAGCAUUCAUAAUUUUUAUUUUUUAAUUCAAUUUAUUAUAAUUAUUGUGUAAAUAUAUAAAGCUUAAAUGGAUACCAGCCAAGUGUUCUUACCUACCCCAUAUAAAUUUCUCUCUUUUUUCUUGAAUAUGUAUGUAGCAGUUGUAAGAUGUACCCACACAUUUAUUUAUUUUAAAACGACACUUCAGGGUUCACACUGAGUAUUGCCAUUACCGCAUCUAGCUUCUCAGGUCAUUGAUAAGCAUAACCACCAACUCUCUUAUACUUAUGCAUCUAUCUGUCUCAUCAAUUCAUGAAGGGACUGACACAAAUAUUGGUUUUAUAUUAUAAUUUGAUUAGUAAUAUUUGGGUGGCUUGAAUUCAUUCAUGUCUCACUUCCUGAAAUUAUUAGCUUUUGAAUUUUAUAUGAAAAAAUCAUUCCUGGGACGCUCAGCUUUAAUUUUAUCUCAUUUGAUACUGAAUAUUAUAAAAGUAUAAUUAUUUAAUCUGCAACUAGUGAACGCAUAAACGUAACGUGAACGGACUUUAACUUUUUUUUUAAUUAAAUUUUAUAAAAUUUAAUAAUUACAGUUUUAUGAGUUCAGAUUGAAUAAUUAUGGCGAAGACAUCGAAUGCUUAAUGCAAUUUUACAUAGCUGCAAGUAAACUUGGAGUAGUUUUGUAUUUCUUAAGCUAGAGUCAGACAUGUGUCCAGCAAAUAAAUCAAUGAAUGCGUUGGCUAGCCAGUGACGGAUCAUGCAUGUAGAAUAUUUUAGAUUAUAGUAAGAAGAUGCUUUUUGUCGUUGGGUGCGUGGAUGCAUCUUCUUUAAAUUAAUUAAACUAAUACUUUAAGAAAAUAAUAAAUAUAUAACACUUAUUGUUUUCAUAUUGAUAUCACGUUCUUGCAAUGUUGAUAAUUUAAUUUUUGAAUUCAAAGGUCUUCAAAAUUAAUUAUUAGACUUAAUUAAGCAUAUAGGAAAGUUAACGUCUGCACUUUCUACAAAUAAUCUUUUAAUUAAAUAAUUAAUAUUGUAUUAAAUCCAAGCUAUGUAUAGAUAAACUCCCACAAAUACUUUUCAAUUAAUUAAUUAUUUUUAAUCCAAAAGGCAGCUAAUUAAAAUUUUGAACAGGUGGGAUUUGAUAGCAGGGAGGAUUCCAGGGCGUAAAGCAGAAGAAAUAGAGAGGUUUUGGACAAUGCGAGACAUAAUCAAGAAUUUGCAAAGAGAAGAAAUCAGCAUCAAACUAGCUGAAACUUCCUAAACGGUUUUGUUCAUUGUCGUUUUGACAUCUUCAGUUCAAUUUUAUUCCUUCUAUUUCUUCUUGCUUUGCUUGAAAUUCUUGUAUGGAAUUCGUCUGUUAAUUUUCACUUAAUCCCUCGUAAAUGGACAUGAUGGCCUCUUUAAUAAUGGAUUAAUUAGA
rnacentral:misc_RNA from 1 species